CUUGAGUAUAGGAGAGGAAAAGUGGAAUUCCCAGUGUAGCGGUGAAAUGCGUAGAUAUUGGGAGGAACACCGGUGGCGAAGGCGGCUUCCUGGACUAAUACUGACGCUGAGGCGCGAAAGCCAGGGGAGCGAACGGGAUUAGAUACCCCGGUAGUCCUGGCUGUAAACGAUGGACACUAGGUGUAGGGGGUAUCGACUCCUUCUGUGCCGCAGCUAACGCAUUAAGUGUCCCGCCUGGGGAGUACGUUCGCAAGAAUGAAACUCAAAGGAAUUGACGGGGGCCCGCACAAGCGGUGGAGCAUGUGGUUUAAUUCGAAGCAACGCGGAGAACCUUACCGGGGUUUGACAUGUACGUGACAGUACUAGAGAUAGUAUCUUCCUUUCGGGGACACGUACACAGGUGCUGCAUGGCUGUCGUCAGCUCGUGUCGUGAGGUGUUGGGUUAAGUCCCGCAACGAGUGCAACCCUCACCCUUAAUUGCCAACAGGUCAAGCUGGGAACUUUAAGGGAACUGCCGGUGAUAAACCGGAGGAGGGUGGGGAUGACGUCAAGUCCUCAUGGCCCCUAUGUCCCGGGCUACACACGUGCUACAAUGGCCAGUACAAAGAGUAUGCAAGAUCGUGAGGUGGAGCUAAUCUCAAAAAGCUGGUCACAGUUCGGAUUGAAGUCUGCAACUCGACUUCAUGAAGCCGGAAUCGCUAGU
rnacentral:rRNA from 1 species